AAAAUUAAAAUACAAAAGAAAGAAAAAAAGUGUUAUUGUACCUUUUUGGAUCUGGGCGGAAGGGAAUCGUGAUCGUCCAAGGAAUCUAAAAGCAUCUGCUUUUUAAAUGACUACCGUUGGAUUCUGGAUCCGAUUUGUCGUUAUCGCAACUGAUUUGGCCCGUGGUUCGUCGGCGAAGGGCAAGGGCACCGACGUGUUUAUUUCCUUUCUUCUCCCCCGCCGUCGCUCUCUACAGUGAACGCGACGUGAGAAUCGAGAUCUUAAUGCGUUACCAAGCUCUGUGAUGUCUAGAUCUUAAUGGCUUUUUUUUUUUUUUUUUUUGUUGCCGUCGUUCAAAUAGUCAGAUUCAGGCUUUCGUUUCGGCACAACACCAUUUAGCGCUCCGAUUCCCCAUUUUGAAGAGGUUAAUUGUUCGAAAUCGCUCAUUGAAGAGGAAUGGUAAAGGACGAUGAAGAAUCAGAGAGCCCGGAUGAGCAACAACAUUUAAAGGCAGAGAGAGGAAGGCAGAGAUUCAGAUAAGGGGCUGUUUCAAUUAUCCCAAGACUGAAGAGUAACUUUAAGCAGCAGCAGAGAGAGGGAGUUCUGAUAAGGAGCUAUGGGAAUCAUCCCAAGGCUGAGUGAACAGGUUUAAGGAGGAAAAGACAGCAGAAAAUACAAAGAUAGGCUAUGGGGAGAUGGUGAGUGGCAGCUCGCUCUCCAUUCUCCAAUGAACUAAAACAAAAUUGUGCAGCUGUAUGGAAUAUGGAUCCAAAUGAUGCUGUAAAUUUCUUGUUGGCAGUAGCAGAACAGACAGCGAUGGCUGCUGCAACCUUGCAUGGACUCAAUAUUUUACACCUCAAGAAUCUGAGUUCUUCCAAGGGUACGUUUUUUCAUAACCUCUUAUCUCACAAAUUCUUUUUAUGAAUCACGUUUGAAUGAUUCAUUACACAUCUUAAUGAAAGCACUCUUAAUUAAA